GGGGGCGACCUGGUAUCGAUCGGGUAAGUUGAGGCGUUUGGUUGCGUGUCGUGGUUGAUCAGUAGGCCACGUAAAAAGCUGAUCAAAACUUUAACUGCUGAAACUCAGUUCAGCAUGGCAGCCUAAUAAAACGGCUGCCCCGAUCCUGGGAGCUUCGCCUGAGAGGUCCCAGUUCGGUCGUUAAUUCGGGCUCGCGAUCGCUUGAGUCUCUUCAUUUUCUGUCCUCUCCUCCAAAGGGAGAGGGUGGGGGUGAGGGGGCGCCAUCGGCGGCGGUGAUCGCUAAACUUUCUGGCCGAUUAGUCGCAUGCUACCUUUGUUUGUCGGAGCGUAUGCGAUGAACACGAAGGGUUCGGCCCUUCAAGAUCGAUGAGCUACACACGUAGACGCCGGCGCUGAAGUACUCCGAGACCCGGGUUCAAUUCCCGGCGCCUCCAC
rnacentral:tmRNA from 1 species